GGACGAACGCUGGCGGCGUGCUUAACACAUGCAAGUCGAGCGGUAAGGCCCUUUCGGGGGGUACACGAGCGGCGAACGGGUGAGUAACACGUGGGUGACCUGCCCUUAGCUCUGGGAUAAGCCUGGGAAACUGGGUCUAAUACCGGAUAUGACUCCAUGACGCAUGUUGUGGGGUGGAAAGCCUUGUGCGGCUAGGGAUGGGCCCGCGGCCUAUCAGUCUUGUUGGUGGGGUGAUGGCCUACCAAGGCGACGACGGGUAGCCGGCCUGAGAGGGCGACCGGCCACACUGGGACUGAGACACGGCCCAGACUCCUACGGGAGGCAGCAGUGGGGAAUCUUGCGCAAUGGGCGAAAGCCUGACGC
rnacentral:rRNA from 1 species